UAGAGAUGUUCAUACACUCCACAUAACACAUUCAUUGAUUCUUGCAUAUUCUCUCAUUUAAUCACGUAAGGAUCAGGGAAGAUCAGUGAGAAACUCCUCAAUGCCCAAAUCUGCAACACUGCUUCUGUAUGUAAUGUAGCAAAAUCCUAACAUGUGCCACACCAGCCAUAUGUGUUUGAAUUAUGGGGACCCUCUUAUCAUCAUUUAUUUGUUAAGAUGCUGUUAAAUGUGAACAGGAACUAGAUAAGGAGAGGAAAGAAUAGGAGUGAUGAGAUCUAGGGUAUGGAGAAAAAAGGUAGCUCUCAGGACUUUGGGAUAUGUUGCUACUUCUGCUAUUGACUCAUCAGGUGAGAAACAGCAAGACUGUAACCGUUUUUUGUAGGGUCAGUGGAUUCUUGCCAAGGAAUCUCCUGUA